rnacentral:rRNA from 1 species
UACAGAGGGGGCAAGCGUUAUUCGGAAUUAUUGGGCGUAAAGGGCGCGUAGGCGGUUUCUUAAGUCAGAUGUGUAAUCCCCGAGCUCAACUUGGGAACUGCAUCUGAGACUGGGAGGCUAGAGUACUGGAGAGGGUGGUGGAAUUCCUCGUGUAGCGGUGAAAUGCGUAGAGAUGAGGAGGAACACCAGUGGCGAAGGCGGCCACCUGGACAGUAACUGACGCUGAGGCGCGAAAGUGUGGGUAG